UAGUUUUUUCCGAUCUCCUUCUCGCGAAAUCAAUUACAAGUUGUUUUUUCUCUAAUUUACUAUUUCUACAUCCUUUUCCUGUUUUAGAUUUCCGAUUACUUAUCAAUCAAAACUUCUCAUUUCUUUUCCUACAGUUUUUUCUUUUGCAGAAUGUGAAUCUUUUUAAUUGAUUUCAGCGCCUUUUUUCCUGUAUUUGGGUCGGAGACUCGUAUGCAGAAACUGAAACAUAUGCAGAUUUUGGUCUGCGGAAGCUUAAUAAUGUGUAAUUUUGGUGUGCAGAAACUAAAAAAUGUGUGCAGAAACUGAAAUUUAAGUAGAGAAUCAAAAAAAAUAUAGUGCAGAAAAUUAAAAAUGCGUGCAGAAACUGAAAUUUAAGUGCAGAAUCGAGCAAAAUAUAUGCAGGAAUUGAAAAAUAUGUGCAGAAACUUAAAAAUAUGCACAGAAUGCAGAAAAAAGUGCAGAUUGCAAUGCAGAACUGAAAAUAAGUGCAGAAACUGAAAAAUAUAGUGCAGAA